rnacentral:misc_RNA from 1 species
GAUGAAGAACGUAGCGAAAUGCGAUAAGUAGUGUGAAUUGCAGAAUUCAGUGAAUCAUCGAAUCUUUGAACGCACAUUGCGCCCCUUGGUAUUCCAUGGGGCAUGCCUGUUCGAGCGUCAUUUGUACCCUCAAGCUUUGCUUGGUGUUGGGCGUCUUGUCGUAUUACGACUCGCCUUAAAUACAUUGGCAGCCGGCACUUUGGCCUAGGAGCGCAGCACAUUUUGCGAUCGUAGCCCGUUGUACUGGCGUCCAUCAAGAACAUUUACCACGUUUGACCUCGGAUCAGGUAGGGAUACCCGCUGAACUUAAGCAUAUCAAUAAGCGGAGG